rnacentral:lncRNA from 1 species
GUCCCUUCACUGGUACUGUGGGAGGCACUACACCCUUUUGGUUCUUAGAACCCUUUGCCCUUGGUCCUCUGUUGAGUUCAUUUAAACCGUCCAUGUUUUCAUUUCCAUAAAAGUAAUUAUUACCUCUUCCCCUAGGUUUAUACUUGCUGUUGUCAACGGAUAGCCAACCCCGUCCAUUUGUUCUCAAGUCAUAGCCUGUAGAACCAAAGCCCAUACCAGAUCUAAUAGUGUUUCCAUACUGACCAUAUAAUUUGUUAGAAUACAUCCUAUUGAUAUAUCCAUGAGCAGUACUGAUGCCAGAUAUUGGAGAUGGAUGGUGCAAGCCCUGCAGAGAAGACACUAGAGAUAAAUAGAACGUACAGCAACUACACGACAAGUCUGGCAAAUGCUAGAGGCAUAAAGCACCAAAUCAACAAAUUGACAGGUAGAUAAAUUGCAUGAAGUCUCCUUAUAAGCAGAACAAAUCAUAUAAAGUCAUAAAAAUAAUUCAAUCUUUAUUUUCUUCAUACCAUGUAAUGAGAAUUUGAACGAUAAUUUUGGUUCCUUGAAGGUUGAAUAUUAUUUCCCUUUGAAAAGGAUGAAGUAACAGCAGUACUAGUCACAGGCCUGUU